rnacentral:rRNA from 1 species
AUGAACGCUGGCGGCGUGCCUAAUACAUGCAAGUCGAGCGAACAGACGAUGAGCUUGCUCCUCUGACGUUAGCGGCGGACGGGUGAGUAACACGUGGAUAACCUACCUAUAAGCCUGGGAUAACUUCGGGAAACCGGAGCUAAUACCGGAUAAUAUAUUGAACCGCAUGGUUCAAUAGUGAAAGACGGUUUUGCUGUCACUUAUAGAUGGAUCCGCGCCGCAUUAGCUAGUUGGUAAGGUAACGGCUUACCAAGGCAACGAUGCGUAGCCGACCUGAGAGGGUGAUCGGCCACACUGGAACUGAGACACGGUCAAGACUCCUACGGGAGGCAGCAGUAGGGAAUCUUCCGCAAUGGGCGAAAGCCUGACGGAGCAACGCCGCGUGAGUGAUGAAGGUCUUCGGAUCGUAAAACUCUGUUAUUAGGGAAGAACAAAUGUGUAAGUAACUAUGCACGUCUUGACGGUACCUAAUCAGAAAGCCACGGCUAACUACGUG